UUUUAGAGUUUGAUCCUGGCUCAGGAUGAACGCUGGCGGCAUGCCUAAUACAUGCAAGUCGAACGGGGUGCUUGCACCCAGUGGCGAACGGGUGAGUAACACGUAUCUAAUCUACCUUUUAGUGGGGGAUAACAGUUGGAAACGACUGCUAAUACCGCAUACGACAUCAUUAUCGCAUGAGAAGAUGUUGAAAGGCCCGUUUGGGUCGCUAGAAGAUGAGGAUGCGGCGUAUUAGCUAGUAGGUGGGGUAAAGGCCCACCUAGGCGAUGAUACGUAGCCGAACUGAGAGGUUGAUCGGCCACAUUGGGACUGAGAUACGGCCCAGACUCCUACGGGAGGCAGCAGUAGGGAAUUUUUCACAAUGGGCGAAAGCCUGAUGAAGCAAUGCCGCGUGAGUGAUGACGGUCUUCGGAUUGUAAAGCUCUGUUGUAAGGGAAGAACAGCUAGAAGAGGAAAUGCUUUUAGUUUGACGGUACCUUACCAGAAAGCCACGGCUAAAA
rnacentral:rRNA from 1 species